AUUGAACGCUGGCGGCAGGCCUAACACAUGCAAGUCGAACGGAGUGGCGGAAGGGUGAGUAAUGUCUGGGAAACUGCCUGAUGGAGGGGGAGAACGUCCGGAAACGGGCGCUAAUAACGCCAACUAUCAGAUGAGCGUAGGUCGGCUUAGAUAGUUGGUGUGGUAAAGGCCUACCAAGGCGCCGAUCCGUAACUGUUCUGAGAGGAUGAUCAGUCACACUGGACCUGAGACACGGUCCAGACUCCUACGGGAGGCAGCAGUGGGGAAUAUUGGACAAUGGGCGAAAGCCUGAUCCAGCCAUGCCGCGUGUGUGAAGAAGGUCUUCGGAUUGUAAAGCACUUUAAGUUGGGAGGCGUUACCAACAGAAUAAGCACCGGCUAACUUCGUGCCAGCAGCCGCGGUAAUAC
rnacentral:rRNA from 1 species